rnacentral:rRNA from 1 species
CCUACGGGUGGCUGCAGUGGGGAAUUUUGGACAAUGGGGGCAACCCUGAUCCAGCCAUUCCGCGUGGGUGAAGAAGGCCUUCGGGUUGUAAAGCUCUUUCGCAAGGGAAGAAAACUUACUCAAUAACACUGGGUGAGGCUGACGGUACCUUGAUAAGAAGCACCGGCUAACUACGUGCCAGCAGCCGCGGUAAUACGUAGGGGACGAGCGUUAAUCGGAAUUACUGGGCGUAGAGCGUGAAGACAGGGGUGAAAUCCCCGGGCUCAACCUGGGAACUGCGUUUGAAACUACAAGGCUAGAGUAUGGCAGAGGGGGGUAGAAUUCCACGUGUAGCAGUGAAAUGCGUAGAGAUGUGGAGGAAUACCAAUGGCGAAGGCAGCCCCCUGGGUCAAUACUGACGCUCAUGCACGAAAGCGUGGGGAGCAAACAGGAUUAGAUACCCUUGUAGUC